AGUGAACGCUGGCGAUAGGCCUAACACAUGCGAGUCGAACGGCAGCACAGUAAGAGCUUGCUCUUACGGGUGGCGAGUGGCGGACGGGUGAGGAAUACAUCGGAAUCUACUUUUUCGUGGGGGAUAACGUAGGGAAACUUACGCUAAUACCGCAUACGACCUACGGGUGAAAGCAGGGGAUCUUCGGACCUUGCGCGAUUGAAUGAGCCGAUGUCGGAUUAGCUAGUUGGCGGGGUAAAGGCCCACCAAGGCGACGAUCCGUAGCUGGUCUGAGAGGAUGAUCAGCCACACUGGAACUGAGACACGGUCCAGACUCCUACGGGAGGCAGCAGUGGGGAAUAUUGGACAAUGGGCGCAAGCCUGAUCCAGCCAUACCGCGUGGGUGAAGAAGGCCUUCGGGUUGUAAAGCCCUUUUGUUGGGAAAGAAAAGCAGCAGGUUAAUACCCCGCUGUUCUGACGGUACCCAAAGAAUAAGCACCGGCUAACUUCGUG
rnacentral:rRNA from 1 species